GUCAGCAUGACUUAGUAGUUUUAGUGUUGGAUUAUGACUCUAGAGACCAGGGUUCAAUUCCCAGAUUGGUCA